rnacentral:tRNA from 1 species
GUCCCCUUCGUCUAGAGGCCUAGGACACCGCCGCCUUUCACGGCGGUAACAGGGGUUCGAAUCCCCUAGGGGACGCCA